AUUGAGAGAGAAUGAGAAACCUGUCAGACAGACUGUUGACAUCUCUCUGAGUUACGUAUUUUGUAUCAAGAGAUUCUCCACACUCUUGUUAAAGAUGAAAUUCAUUUUCACUGUCUUCGUAUUAGUUAACUUUGCAUCGGUUUCAGUCGAUGCUGAUGGGUCAAAGAUCGAGGCAAAGCAUGGAGACGAUGUUACACUGUCUUUCCCAAUGGAUAAAGCAGAGGAAGCCGAUAGAUUGAGGAUAAUGUUUACAUCAGAAUCUACGAAUGAGACUCGUUUGAUCGCACUGCGCUGUUCCGGUUCUGAAAUCUGUGAUCUUGUGAAAACACCUGGAGUCAAACUGAUGGUUGAAGGAGGAUUCGUGUCUGUAACCAUUAAGAAAGUUGACAGCUCCAGAUCAGGACUCUAUAAAGUAGAACCUGUUGGAACGCACAUGCCUGAUGUGAAUCCUAUUACACUUGUUGUCAACGAAGCAUCAUCCUCCACCCAAAAACCUCUGAACUCCUCUAACCUGCUCGGGCUAUGUGCUUUAAUUUCUAUUGUCAUCUCAGUGGGUCGUUUGCUUCUGUAAACACAAGAAGGCAAAAACAUGUGUCAGCAGCGGAUGUUGAAGAAACCACAGAAACCUCUGCUGUCUUCAAGUAUGAAGCUCUUCACUUCUGUGUGAUCGUUUCAGAUCUUUUGAUGCGUCACAUUACUUUUCCCAUAAAGGAUGGUUUACUUUGUCAUGUUGUGCCUCACUAAGGACAGUUUUCUGUUGUUGUCUUUACAGAUCCAUUGUUUGCAAAAAAAAAAAGAAUUGGGGAUUUUUGUGCAUAUCCGAUCAUAUAUAUAUAUAGUAAGUGUGAACUUGUUACUUACUUAUAUGUCAGUUUUUCACGCCUCGUAAAUGGGCUAUAUACAGAAAGCAAGCAAAGAGCACAGCCUUUAUAAUUUAUAAAGCUGAUAUCACUUCAGUUCAGCUCAAGUGAUAUCAGCUUUAUUGAUUAUAAAGGCUGCGCUCUUUGCUUGCUUUCUGUAUAUAACCCAUUUAUAAUUUAAAUAUAAGUUUUAUUUUUCAUGUCGCUAAGUACACAUUGCAAAAUUUCAGGAGUGACAACUGUAUUAAAUUGUGGGGUUGGAUCUGUUUGACAGAGAAAAACCACAGCAAUGAUGGUCAGAUCAGUACAUUAAGUCUUGUGUUACAUCCCAGAGUGUUCUAAUGUCACUUUAUUGUCAAAUGCCUGUGUGCCCUGUGUUGUGCUCUGUUUCUCUCCCUCACUCUCUUACUCAGGUUAAUUACCACCAGCUGCAACUCGUUGUGAGCAUGCCUGAGUCUGAGCAGAGCAGUAUAUAUGGUGCAUUCAGAAGAUCCUGUGCUGAGGAACCCUUCUCCCCAGCCUUAGAGUGGAAAUUGAAUUGUCUGUACUUGUGUAUGCUGUGUGAGAACCUUUGAGUUAUUGUGGGCCUAUACUUAUUUGCUGUGUGUCAGCAACAUUCCUUAGCUUGUUUACUGGUCUAUCCUUGUGUGGGUAACUAGAAGGUAUGGUAUCAUUUAACUUUAAGUAAUGUUUGGUUACUUGGGAAAUGUAGGGGGAGAGUGCCUUUUUAUUUUUAUGUACAAUUGUUUUCUCCUGUUUAUUGAUCAGAGAGGAAGCUCAGGGAGGUUUGUGUUGUUGUUUUUCAUCUUUGUUUUGAGCAGGGUAAGUAGAUCCUCUAAACCUUAGUUAGCUUCUUUUUUGUUUAUUAUUUUAGGCCAUACUCUCUCCUGAAGAUUUAUUCCCUCAUGUUUUUCUUUUUUUGUUAAGGUCUUUUUUUUUCAUAUAAGGAAAUAAACAUUUUUACUUUUCCUUAAA